rnacentral:rRNA from 1 species
GAACCUUACCUGGUCUUGACAUCCCGGAGACCCUUAGGAAACUAGGGGUGCUUCCAUCUGGAAGAAUCUGGAGACAGGUGCUGCGUGGCUGUCGUCAGCUCGUGUCGUGAGAUGUUGGGUUAAGUCCCGCAACGAGCGCAACCCUUGCCUUUAGUUGCCAGCAGUUCGGCUGGGCACUCUAAAGGGACUGCCGGUGUUAAACCGGAGGAAGGUGGGGAUGACGUCAAGUCCUCAUGGCCUUUAUGACCAGGGCUACACACGUACUACAAUGGCCGAUACAAAGGGCAGCGACACUGCGAGGUGAAGCCAAUCCCGUAAAAUCGGUCUCAGUCCGGAUUGGAGUCUGCAACUCGACUCCAUGAAGUUGGAAUCGCUAGUAAUCGUGGAUCAGCAUGCCACGGUGAAUACGUUCCCGGGCCUU